rnacentral:sRNA from 1 species
GCCAGGCGCCGUGAUGCAUGCCUGUAAUCCCAGCAGCUUGGGAGGCUGAGACAGGAGAAUCUUCAGUUCAAAGCCAGCCUCAGCAACUGUAAAGAGCCAAGCAACUCAGUGAGACUCUGUCUCUA